AUGGCGACAUGGAGUCCGCAGCGGUGCAGGGCAAUAAGCCGUGGCGGCGAGUCGGGCGUGACCGGUGCGUGUUAUGGGUGUGUACUGGACGCGUCGGGCGCGUCGGGACCGCGGGAGUGGACCACGUCGAGGCACUGGACCUGGUUGCGCAGAUCGCGUACGUGCGCGACGGGAGCGCGGGCCGGGAGCGCGGGGACGUGGGGAGUGCGCGCGAAGGGCACAGCGGUCGCGGAGACGAGGAGGUCACGAAGGACCUGCGUGGUGGCGCAGAGGUCGCGGCGGCUCGGCGUGACAACCGUGGAGGCUCGUGGCACGGAGCCGCGGAGCUCGUGUCGGAUGCGUCAGGCGCGUGUAUGGGCGCGCGCCGGGCAUGUCAGGCGCGGCGGGACCGUGGUGUAG
rnacentral:rRNA from 1 species